UACGUAGGGUGCGAGCGUUAAUCGGAAUUACUGGGCGUAAAGCGUGCGCAGGCGGUUUGCUAAGACAGGUGUGAAAUCCCCGGGCUUAACCUGAGAACUGCGCUUGUGACUGGCAGGCUAGAGUACGGUAGAGGGGGGUGGAAUUCCUGGUGUAGCAGUGAAAUGCGUAGAUAUCAGGAGGAACACCGAUGGCGAAGGCAGCCCCCUGGGCCUGUACUGACGCUCAUGCACGAAAGCGUGGGGAGCAAACAGGAUUAGAUACCCG
rnacentral:rRNA from 1 species